UACAGAGGGUGCAAGCGUUAAUCGGAAUUACUGGGCGUAAAGCGUGCGUAGGCGGUUACUUAAGUUGGGUGUGAAAUCCCCGGGCUUAACCUGGGAACUGCACCCAAGACUGGGUAACUCGAGUCUGGGAGAGGGUGGUGGAAUUUCCGGUGUAGCGGUGAAAUGCGUAGAUAUCGGAAGGAACAUCAGUGGCGAAGGCGACCGCCUGGCCCAAGACUGACGCUGAGGCACGAAAGCGUGGGGAGCAAACAGGAUUAGAUACCCUGGUAGUCCACGCCGUAAACGAUGAGAACUAGCCGUUGGGUCCGUUUGAGGAUUUAGUGGCGCAGCUAACGCGAUAAGUUCUCCGCCUGGGAAGUACGGCCGCAAGGUUGAA
rnacentral:rRNA from 1 species